GAUGAACGCUGGCGGCGUGCCUAAUACAUGCAAGUCGAGCGAACGGACGAGAAGCUUGCUUCUCUGAUGUUAGCGGCGGACGGGUGAGUAACACGUGGAUAACCUACCUAUAAGACUGGGAUAACUUCGGGAAACCGGAGCUAAUACCGGAUAAUAUUUUGAACCGCAUGGUUCAAAAGUGAAAGACGGUCUUGCUGUCACUUAUAGAUGGAUCCGCGCUGCAUUAGCUAGUUGGUAAGGUAACGGCUUACCAAGGCAACGAUGCAUAGCCGACCUGAGAGGGUGAUCGGCCACACUGGAACUGAGACACGGUCCAGACUCCUACGGGAGGCAGCAGUAGGGAAUCUUCCGCAAUGGGCGAAAGCCUGACGGAGCAACGCCGCGUGAGUGAUGAAGGUCUUCGGAUCGUAAAACUCUGUUAUUAGGGAAGAACAUAUGUGUAAGUAACUGUGCACAUCUUGACGGUACCUAAUCAGAAAGCCACGGCUAACUACGUGCCAGCAGCCGCGGGUAUACGUAGGUGGGCAGCGUUAUCCCGGAUAUUAUGGGCGUAAGCGCGCGUAGGCGGUUUUUUAAGUCUGAUGUGAAAGCCCACGGCUCAAUCGUGGAGGGUCAUUGGAAACUGGAAAACUUGAGUGCAGAAGAGGAAAGUGGAAUUCCAUGUGUAGCGGUGAAAUGCGCAGAGAUAUGGAGGAACACCAGUGGCGAAGGCGACUUUCUGGUCUGCAACUGACGCUGAUGUGCGAAAGCGUGGGGAUCAAACAGGAUUAGAUACCCUGGUAGUCCACGCCGUAAACGAUGAGUGCUAAGUGUUAGGGGGUUUCCGCCCCUUAGUGCUGCAGCUAACGCAUUAAGCACUCCGCCUGGGGAGUACGACCGCAAGGUUGAAACUCAAAGGAAUUGACGGGGACCCGCACAAGCGGUGGAGCAUGUGGUUUAAUUCGAAGCAACGCGAAGAACCUUACCAAAUCUUGACAUCCUUUGACAACUCUAGAGAUAGAGCCUUCCCCUUCGGGGGACAAAGUGACAGGUGGUGCAUGGUUGUCGUCAGCUCGUGUCGUGAGAUGUUGGGUUAAGUCCCGCAACGAGCGCAACCCUUAAGCUUAGUUGCCAUCAUUAAGUUGGGCACUCUAAGUUGACUGCCGGUGACAAACCGGAGGAAGGUGGGGAUGACGUCAAAUCAUCAUGCCCCUUAUGAUUUGGGCUACACACGUGCUACAAUGGACAAUACAAAGGGCAGCGAAACCGCGAGGUCAAGCAAAUCCCAUAAAGUUGUUCUCAGUUCGGAUUGUAGUCUGCAACUCGACUACAUGAAGCUGGAAUCGCUAGUAAUCGUAGAUCAGCAUGCUACGGUGAAUACGUUCCCGGGUCU
rnacentral:rRNA from 1 species